AGAGUUUGAUCCUGGCUCAGGAUGAACGCUGGCGGCGUGCCUAAUACAUGCAAGUCGAACGAAGAGCGGAUAGCUUGCUAUCCAAUCUUAGUGGCGAACGGGUGAGUAAUACAUAAGUAAUCUGCCUUAGUGACUGGGAUAACUGUUGGAAACGAUGGCUAAUACCGGAUAGUUAAUUUUAUGGCAUCAUAUUAUUAUUAAAGUUGCGAAUGCAGCACAUUAAGAUGAGCUUAUGGCGCAUUAGUUAGUUGGUGAGGUAACGGCUCACCAAGACGAUGAUGCGUAGCCGACCUGAGAGGGUGACCGGCCACACUGGGACUGAGACACGGCCCAGACUCCUACGGGAGGCAGCAGUAGGGAAUUUUCGGCAAUGGGCGAAAGCCUGACCGAGCAACGCCGCGUGAGUGAAGACGGCCUUCGGGUUGUAAAGCUCUGUUGUAAGGGAAGAACAGGUAGUAGAGGAAAUGCUAUUACUAUGACGGUACCUUACCAGAAAGCCACGGCUAACUACGUGCCAGCAGCCGCGGUAAUACGUAGGUGGCGAGCGUUAUCCGGAAUUAUUGGGCGUAAAGGGUGCGUAGGCGGCAUAUUAAGUCUAUGGUUAAAGUGCGGGGCUCAACUCCGUAUUGCCAUAGAAACUGGUAAGCUAGAGUGCAGGAGAGGGCAGUGGAAUUCCAUGUGUAGCGGUAAAAUGCGUAGAUAUAUGGAGGAACACCGGUGGCGAAGGCGGCUGCCUGGCCUGUAACUGACGCUGAGGCACGAAAGCGUGGGGAGCAAAUAGGAUUAGAUACCCUAGUAGUCCACGCUGUAAACGAUGAAUACUAAGUGUUGGAGCAAUUCAGUGCUGUAGUUAACGCAAUAAGUAUUCCGCCUGGGGAGUAUGCACGCAAGUGUAAAACUCAAAGGAAUUGACGG
rnacentral:rRNA from 1 species